rnacentral:rRNA from 1 species
AUUAUACAGCGAAACUGCGAAUGGCUCAUUAAAUCAGUUAUCGUUUAUUUGAUAGUACCUUACUACAUGGAUAACCGUGGUAAUUCUAGAGCUAAUACAUGCUAAAAAUCCCGACUUCGGAAGGGAUGUAUUUAUUAGAUUAAAAACCAAUGCCCUUCGGGGCUCUCUGGUGAUUCAUAAUAACUUCUCGAAUCGCAUGGCCUUGCGCCGGCGAUGGUUCAUUCAAAUUUCUGCCCUAUCAACUUUCGACGGCUGGGUCUUGGCCAGCCAUGGUGACAACGGGUAACGGAGGGUUAGGGCUCGACCCCGGAGAAGGAGCCUGAGAAACGGCUACUACAUCCAAGGAAGGCAGCAGGCGCGCAAAUUACCCAAUCCCGACUCGGGGAGGUAGUGACAAUAAAUACUGAUACAGGGCUCUUUUGGGUCUUGUAAUUGGAAUGAGUACAAUUUAAAUCCCUUAACGAGGAACAAUUGGAGGGCAAGUCUGGUGCCAGCAGCCGCGGUAAUUCCAGCUCCAAUAGCGUAUAUUAAAGUUGUUGAGGUUAAAAAGCUCGUAGUUGAACCUUGGGCCUGGCUGGCCGGUCCGCCUCACCGCGUGCACUGGUCCGGCCGGGCCUUUCCCUCUGGGGAGCCGCAUGCCCUUUACUGGGUGUGUCGGGGAACCAGGACUUUUACUCUGAACAAAUUAGAUCGCUUAAAGAAGGCCUAUGCUCGAAUACAUUAGCAUGGAAUAAUAGAAUAGGACGUGUGGUUCUAUUUUGUUGGUUUCUAGGACCGCCGUAAUGAUUAAUAGGGACAGUCGGGGGCAUCAGUAUUCAAUUGUCAGAGGUGAAAUUCUUGGAUUUAUUGAAGACUAACUACUGCGAAAGCAUUUGCCAAGGAUGUUUUCAUUAAUCAGGAACGAAAGUUAGGGGAUCGAAGACGAUCAGAUACCGUCGUAGUCUUAACCAUAAACUAUGCCGAUUAGGGAUCGGACGAUGUUAUUUUUUGACUCGUUCGGCACCUUACGAUAAAUCAAAAUGUUUGGG